AUUAACGCAGCCCAAACUUAAUAAUACGCUCGUCUGUACUCUCAAUAGGCGGGAAAAGGAAAGAGUCAUCGUCUUCCAUAACCUAGAAGCCUCGCAAAACCCCAACCCCAAAAUCUGAUACUCUUGUUGAAUUCUUAAUCUUCAUAGCAAUUUCGAGUGCACUGUAUCGUAAUUAUCAAUGGGCAUUAAGGGUUUAACGAAGCUGUUGGCGGAUAAUGCCCCGAAAGCUAUGAAAGAGCAGAAAUUUGAGAGCUACUUUGGCCGCAAGAUCGCCAUUGAUGCCAGCAUGAGCAUCUACCAGUUCCUUAUUGUAGUGGGAAGAAUUGGAACUGAAAUGCUUACUAAUGAGGCUGGCGAAGUCACUAGCCAUUUGCAAGGCAUGUUUACUCGGACAAUCAGGCUUCUUGAGGCUGGAAUAAAGCCUGUUUAUGUGUUUGAUGGGCAGCCUCCAGACUUGAAAAAAGAAGAGCUGGCAAAGCGGUACUAUUACUAUCUAUGCUUCUCGUUUUUCAUUUUUAUUUUUCAGCACUUUUAUAAUUCGGAAGUCUUCUAUGAUGGUUGAUGAAAAAUGAUGAUCGUCAUACAAUACUUGCAAUACAGUUACUCAAGAAGGGCAGAUGCUACUGAGGAUCUGGCUCAAGCUGUGGAGGUACAUGUGUUUAUUUCUACUUUCAAUAGUUUCUCGCAUUUCUUUUUGAGAUUUCAUUUUACAAAAUGCUGUUUUUUCAUUGUAGACUGGCAACAAGGAAGACAUUGAGAAAUUCAGUAAGCGGACAGUGAAGGUUGGUUCUUUGCUCGACUCUCAGUCCCCCACAGUAGUGGUUUCUAUGAUCUCUCUGGAGGUCACUAUGGUUUUCUUGAACACUUGCAUAGGUAUCCCUUUUAGACAAAGGUUUGGAUUUGUACUUCUAUUUCUACAGGUAACAAAGCAGCACAAUGAAGACUGCAAGAGACUUUUAAAACUCAUGGGAGUACCUGUAGUUGAGGCUCCGUCUGAAGCAGAAGCAGAGUGUGCGGCACUUUGCAAAUCAGGAAAGGUUUAUGCUGUAGCUUCUGAGGACAUGGAUUCCUUAACUUUUGGAGCUCCUAGGUUUCUUCGCCACUUGAUGGAUCCCAGCUCAAAAAAAAUCCCGGUUAUGGAAUUUGAAGUUUCCAAGAUUUUGGAGGAGUUGAACCUUAGCAUGGAUCAAUUCACUGACCUGUGCAUUCUUUCUGGAUGUGAUUAUUGUGACAGCAUUCGAGGAAUUGGAGGGCAGACUGCCUUGAAGCUCAUCCGUCAGCAUGGAUCUAUAGAGAACAUAUUGGAGAACAUAAACAAAGAGAGAUACCAAAUACCAGAGGAUUGGCCAUAUCAGGAGGCUCGACAGCUUUUUAAAAAACCAAUUGUCCUUGCUGAUGAAGAGGAGCCUGAGCUUAAGUGGAUUGCCUCAGAUGAAGAGGGGCUGAUUACUUUCUUGGUGAAUGAAAAUGGGUUCAAUAGUGAUCGGGUGACAAAGGCAAUAGAAAAAAUUAAAGCAGCUAAGAACAAGUCAUCACAGGGCAGAUUGGAAUCAUUUUUCAAGCCAGUUGCCAACUCAUCUAUACCUAUUAAACGAAAGGAAACACCAGAUAACAAUGCUAAAGAAACUACUGCUAAGAAAUCCAAGGCCGGAGGUGGUAGGAAGAAGAAGUAGCUAAUUUGGCAUUAAAACCUCAUCCUCACAUGGCUGGUAAUCAGUUCAUGUUGUGGAGCAGUUAAUGUAAUGCGCGUUUCGUUUCAUGCCUAUGAUGGGUGUUUAAGCAUGCAAUGGCUGCCAUUCUGAUGCCAGACAUGUUAUUGAAAAUUGUUUCUAGUUAAAAUCUUUCCGACAGUGUUGUAUUUUUUAUUUGUAGUAUUUAUCAAGUUAGCAGUGUCUGCAUGGGACAUGUUUCUUGUGCAAAGGAUGCACAGAUUGCACAUUGAUUUAGGUUCCUUCAUACUUUAUGUAAUUAUCAAUCUGGAAAAUUGCAAGGUGUAUAAUGUUUUAAUCUUGUCCUGGAGGCCUAGGUUAGAUUUGUGAAUCUUGUAAUUGAUUAAUCUGGAUAGUUUUGCUUCUGUUAUAUACUUGGACUGUAAAAGCAAAGCUGUUGUGACCUGAAAUUUUCUCAAGUUAUCAAUGUUAUCUAGUUGAUUGAUGA
rnacentral:misc_RNA from 1 species